GCAUUUCAGAUGAAUGAUGCAUUGUGGGAUUGGAUGCUAUUGACAUAGCGACAGGAUUGUCGAUUGAAGAACAGUCUUGUUUUCAUCAAUAACUUUGGGGAAUUUGUCAUUUCAGCAGCUGCCAUGAACGGGUCAGUGGCCAAAAAGACCCAAGACACUUUAGGGAGAGUUAUAAAGAAACCUCCGCUUACUGAAAAACUGCUCAGCAAACCGCCGUUUAGGUAUCUGCACGACAUAUUCAGUGAGGUGAUCCGGACCACUGGCUUCAUGAAGGGACUCUAUGCAGAGACUGAGAUGAAGUCAGACAAUGUCAAGGAUAAGGAUGCUAAGAUAGCGUUCCUGCAGAAGGCCCUAGAUGUGGUGAUGCUGGUGAACGGCGAGCCCCUCUCGGUCAAGCCAGCGCGCAUUGUAGCCGGCCAUGAGCCUGAGAGGACCAACGAGCUGCUACAGGCCAUCGCCAAGUGCUGCCUCAACAAGCUGUCCAGUGAGGAGGCGGUAAAGCGGGUGCUGGCCGGGGACAAGCUGGACCCCAAGGGGAAGGCCAGCUCCUCCCGGUCCCAGGACAAGGAGAACAGGGAGGGACGAGAGCGCCAACGAGACCAAGUGGAGAAGGCGAUCCGAGAGCACAGCGCCGGGGGUUGGGAGCAGAAGGACCCAGACCUGCCCAAAGAGCAAGAGGGCAGACUGGGCGACAAGGAAAAGGAGCGCCACCGCGAGAGAGAAAGGUCAAAAAAGAGCCGCGAUCGAGACCGUACCAAAGACCGUGGCAAGGACAAGAGCCGGGACAAAAACAAUGAAAGAGAGAAAGACCGAGAACGAGACAAGGAGAGCGAGAGGGACAGAGACAGGGAAAAGAGCAAAGACAAGGAGUUGCACAGAGGGAGAGAUCGAGAGAGGGAUAAGGAGAAAGAUUUAGACCGGGAUAAACGGCGAGAGAAGGAGAGAGAGCUCAGACACAAACAGGGGGAGGAGAAAACCAAAGUGCCAGAGAAGGGUGACAAAAAGGCCAGAGUGUCAGAGGACACAAAACACAGACCACAUGAAGAGGAGCCCAGUAAAACUGCCAAACUUGAACCAGCGACAGCGGAAGUCACAUACAAACAGUCUGACAGUCCAGCCAGAAUACCUCGGCCUUCAUCUGCCAAGGGGCAGAGGCGCUGGCCCAAAGCAGGAGCCCAACAAGAAGAGUUUGACAGUGAAGAUGGAGACACUCCGUUGGCACAGAGGCCGGUUCCCCUGGAGAACGGAGAUGCCACAGACGCAGUGCCAGCCCACAUGGCCCACAGGAGGAUACCUCGGCCCAGCAGCGCCCGGCCCGCCCCUCCUCGGGUCAAGACGCAGGAGAGCUACACUGACGUGACCCCAGCUGAAAGGCUGACCAGUGCCAAGCCCCCGGCGGCCGUCAUCACGGAGGGGAAGAAGCUUUCUGAGGAUGAAGAUGAACAGUUUGUGGUGUUGGAGGCCUCCCCUCUUCCCCCCGACAUGCCCGAGAUGGAGCCAACAGUGGAUCUCCAAGGCGAUGAGAAUCAUGGUGGGCUGGUGAAAAAAAUCCUGGAAACCAAAAAAGACUUUGAAACAUCACCAUCAUCUCCAAAGUCCCAAGACCAGACCCAGAGCCUGGUGUCGGAGGUGUCCAGGAAGAAGGAGCGGGACCUGGUGUCUAGGGAGAUUGAGCGGCUGCGCUCGUCCAUCCAGACGGUGUGCCGCAGCGCCUUGCCCCUAGGCAAGAUCAUGGAUUACAUCCAGGAGGACAUGGACGCCAUGCAGAACGAGCUGCACACCUGGAGGAGGGAGAACAAGGAACAUGGGCAGGCCCUGCUGCAUGAACAGAGAGUGACGGACAGCGCGGUGGAGCCUCUGAAGGCCGAGCUGGCCGAGCUUGAGCAGCUGAUCAAGGAGCAGCAGGACAAGAUCUGCGCCGUCAAGUCCAACAUCCUGAAGAAUGAGGACAAGAUCCAGAAGAUGGUAACCAGCAUCAACUUCUCCUCGCGAAUAUGAGGGGGAGCCAAGGUCCAAAUAAAGGAUUAUCGCCCUUAAAUAAGGACUGAGCGUUCAGGUCUCACAACUGCAGAACAUGUGUAACCACGCCAGCCCAGGACCUGCACAUCUGGCUUCUUCACCUGCGGGAUUGUCUGAGGAGGGGUGCUGAGAAGUAUUACUGUCUGUAUUAAAGCCUUUUUGUGGGGAAGAAUCAUUCUGAUUCGCUGGGCCUGGCUCCCCGAUGGGUGUGUCUAUGCCCCCUCAGUCCCACCCAUGGCUGCAACUCUGCCCAGUCAUAUGAAAUCCAUUAAUUAGGGGAUAAUGAAUUUCUUUCAAUUGACUUAUUUCCUUAUAUGAACUGUAACUUAGUCAAAUCUUUGAAAUUGUUACAUAUUGCGUUUAUAUUUUUGGUCCGUAUAGUUUCGUGUUUUUUGACAUUACAAUGUAUAUGCGUUGUGGGAAUUAAGGCUUGACAUUGAAGUUCUUUUACAGCUUCAAGCAAAGGGCACAUGGACCAAGCCAAUACCCUCCACAUCUACUUGAUAUACAUUUGAUACAGACUUCUGUCAUUUUUUAACAUGUCUGUCUAUUAACAAUUCUGUUUACCUGAAGCUUCUUCAAAGCCUGUACAAAGCAAUAGAUCUGAGGUUUGCUGAGGAGCUAGGGACGCCACGAGCAGAAGACAUGGCAGUCCUUUGACUCUUCCUUCUGUCAACCACUAUGCUUGUCCCAGAUCUGUUUGUGCGUUCUGGCCAAGGUCAGCAAGACAUCAAAAACAGGCCUGGGGUCAGGCUAGUCGAGCACCACUGUGCUUUGAGAAAUUGGGUUAGUAUAGAACUGUGUCCACUCAUUGAAAGAGUAGUUAAAGUAAGAGUUAAAAGUAACAUGACACUUUCAUAGAUAAAAAAAAAAAUAUAUAUAUAUAUAUCUAUAUAUAUCUAUAUAUAUUAUAUCUGUCACGUCUGUCACGUGCUCAGUGUGAACCUGCUUUC